GGGUUGUGAGGUUAAGCGACUAAGCGUACACGGUGGAUGCCCUGGCAGUCAGAGGCGAUGAAGGACGUGCUAAUCUGCGAAAAGCGUCGGUAAGGUGAUAUGAACCGUUACAGCCGGCGAUGUCCGAAUGGGGAAACCCAGUGCAAUUCGUUGCACUAUCGUUAACUGAAUACAUAGGUUAACGAGGCGAACCGGGGGAACUGAAACAUCUAAGUACCCCGAGGAAAAGAAAUCAACCGAGAUUCCCCCAGUAGCGGCGAGCGAACGGGGAGCAGCCCAGAGUCUGAAUCAGCUUGUGUGUUAGUGGAACGGUCUGGAAAGUCCGACGGUACAGGGUGAUAGUCCCGUACACCAAAAUGCACAGGUUGUGAACUCGAAGAGUAGGGCGGGACACGUGGUAUCCUGUCUGAAUAUGGGGGGACCAUCCUCCAAGGCUAAAUACUCCUGACUGACCGAUAGUGAACCAGUACCGUGAGGGAAAGGCGAAAAGAACCCCGGCGAGGGGAGUGAAAAAGAACCUGAAACCGUGUACGUACAAGCAGUGGGAGCACCUUCGGGUGUGACUGCGUACCUUUUGUAUAAUGGGUCAGCGACUUAUAUUCUGUAGCAAGGUUAACCGUAUAGGGGAGCCGCAGGGAAACCGAGUCUUAACUGGGCGUUAAGUUGCAGGGUAUAGACCCGAAACCCGGUGAUCUAGCCAUGGGCAGGUUGAAGGUUGGGUAACACUAACUGGAGGACCGAACCGACUAAUGUUGAAAAAUUAGCGGAUGACUUGUGGCUGGGGGUGAAAGGCCAAUCAAACCGGGAGAUAGCUGGUUCUCCCCGAAAGCUAUUUAGGUAGCGCCUCGUGAACUCAUCUUCGGGGGUAGAGCACUGUUUCGGCUAGGGGGUCAUCCCGACUUACCAACCCGAUGCAAACUACGAAUACCGAAGAAUGUUAUCACGGGAGACACACGGCGGGUGCUAACGUCCGUCGUGAAGAGGGAAACAACCCAGACCGCCAGCUAAGGUCCCAAAGUCACAGUUAAGUGGGAAACGAUGUGGGAAGGCACAGACAGCCAGGAUGUUGGCUUAGAAGCAGCCAUCAUUUAAAGAAAGCGUAAUAGCUCACUGGUCGAGUCGGCCUGCGCGGAAGAUGUAACGGGGCUAAACUGUGCACCGAAGCUGCGGCAGCGACACUAUGUGUUGUUGGGUAGGGGAGCGUUCUGUAAGCCUGCGAAGGUGGCCUGUGAGGGUUGCUGGAGGUAUCAGAAGUGCGAAUGCUGACAUAAGUAACGAUAAUGCGGGUGAAAAGCCCGCACGCCGGAAGACCAAGGGUUCCUGUCCAACGUUAAUCGGGGCAGGGUGAGUCGACCCCUAAGGCGAGGCCGAAAGGCGUAGUCGAUGGGAAACAGGUUAAUAUUCCUGUACUUGGUGUUACUGCGAAGGGGGGACGGAGAAGGCUAUGUUAGCCGGGCGACGGUUGUCCCGGUUUAAGCAUGUAGGCGGAGGUUCCAGGUAAAUCCGGUACCUUUUUAACGCUGAGGUGUGAUGACGAGGCACUACGGUGCUGAAGUAACAAAUGCCCUGCUUCCAGGAAAAGCCUCUAAGCAUCAGGUAACAUUGAAUCGUACCCCAAACCGACACAGGUGGUCAGGUAGAGAAUACCAAGGCGCUUGAGAGAACUCGGGUGAAGGAACUAGGCAAAAUGGUGCCGUAACUUCGGGAGAAGGCACGCUGAUAUGUAGGUGAAGCCCCUGCGGGUGGAGCUGAAAUCAGUCGAAGAUACCAGCUGGCUGCAACUGUUUAUUAAAAACACAGCACUGUGCAAACACGAAAGUGGACGUAUACGGUGUGACGCCUGCCCGGUGCCGGAAGGUUAAUUGAUGGGGUUAUCCGUAAGGAGAAGCUCUUGAUCGAAGCCCCGGUAAACGGCGGCCGUAACUAUAACGGUCCUAAGGUAGCGAAAUUCCUUGUCGGGUAAGUUCCGACCUGCACGAAUGGCGUAAUGAUGGCCAGGCUGUCUCCACCCGAGACUCAGUGAAAUUGAACUCGCUGUGAAGAUGCAGUGUACCCGCGGCAAGACGGAAAGACCCCGUGAACCUUUACUAUAGCUUGACACUGAACAUUGAGCCUUGAUGUGUAGGAUAGGUGGGAGGCUUUGAAGCGUGGACGCCAGUCUGCGUGGAGCCAACCUUGAAAUACCACCCUUUAAUGUUUGAUGUUCUAACGUUGGCCCCUAAUCGGGGUUGCGGACAGUGUCUGGUGGGUAGUUUGACUGGGGCGGUCUCCUCCCAAAGAGUAACGGAGGAGCACGAAGGUUAGCUAAUCCUGGUCGGACAUCAGGAGGUUAGUGCAAUGGCAUAAGCUAGCUUGACUGCGAGCGUGACGGCGCGAGCAGGUGCGAAAGCAGGUCAUAGUGAUCCGGUGGUUCUGAAUGGAAGGGCCAUCGCUCAACGGAUAAAAGGUACUCCGGGGAUAACAGGCUGAUACCGCCCAAGAGUUCAUAUCGACGGCGGUGUUUGGCACCUCGAUGUCGGCUCAUCACAUCCUGGGGCUGAAGUAGGUCCCAAGGGUAUGGCUGUUCGCCAUUUAAAGUGGUACGCGAGCUGGGUUUAGAACGUCGUGAGACAGUUCGGUCCCUAUCUGCCGUGGGCGCUGGAGAAUUGAGGGGGGCUGCUCCUAGUACGAGAGGACCGGAGUGGACGCAUCACUGGUGUUCGGGUUGUCAUGCCAAUGGCAUUGCCCGGUAGCUAAAUGCGGAAGAGAUAAGUGCUGAAAGCAUCUAAGCACGAAACUUGCCCCGAGAUGAGUUCUCCCUGAGACUUUAAGUCUCCUGAAGGAACGUUAAAGACGAUGACGUUGAUAGGUCGGGUGUGUAAGCGUAGCGAUACGUUGAGCUAACCGAUACUAAUGAACCGUGAGGCUUAACCUUACAACGCCGAAGGUGUUU
rnacentral:rRNA from 1 species